CCCAGGUCAGGCGGGGCUACCCGCUGAAUUUAAGCAUAUCAAAGGCGGGAAGAAA
rnacentral:rRNA from 1 species